GGAAUUUUGGACAAUGGGCGAAAGCCUGAUCCAGCAAUGCCGCGUGCAGGAUGAAGGCCUUCGGGUUGUAAACUGCUUUUGCACGGAACGAAACGGUUCUUUCUAAUAAAGCGGGCUAAUGACGGUACCGUAAGAAUAAGCACCGGCUAACUCUGUGCCAGCAGCCGCGGUAAGACAGAGGGUGCAAACGUUGCUCGGAAUCACUGGGCGUAAAGGGCGUGUAGGCGGGAAGGUAAGUCGGGCGUGAAAUCCCUGGGCUCAACCCAGGAACUGCACUCGAAACUACUUUUCUUGAGUGCCGGAGAGGAAAGCGGAAUUCCUGGUGUAGAGGUGAAAUUCGUAGAUAUCAGGAGGAACACCAGUGGCGAAGGCGGCUUUCUGGACGGUAACUGACGCUGAGACGCGAAAGCGUGGGGAGCAAAC
rnacentral:rRNA from 1 species